rnacentral:rRNA from 1 species
GGCGGCGUGCUUAACACAUGCAAGUCGAACGAGGCAGCAAUGCCUAGUGGCGGACGGGUGAGUAACACGUAGGUAACCUGCCUCAUAGUGGGGGAUACCCAGCCGAAAGGUUGGCUAAUACCGCAUGAGCUCGUUGGUUGGAAUACUAACGAGGAAAGAUUUAUCGCUAAGAGAGGGGCCUGCGUAUGAUUAGCUAGUUGGUGAGGUAAAGGCUCACCAAGGCGACGAUCAUUAGCUGGUCUGAGAGGACGAUCAGCCACACUGGAACUGAGACACGGUCCAGACUCCUACGGGAGGCAGCAGUGGGGAAUUUUCCGCAAUGGGCGCAAGCCUGACGGAGCAACGCCGCGUGGAUGAUGAAGUCUUUCGGGACGUAAAAUCCUUUCAGCAGGGACGAAGCGAGUGACGGUACCUGCAGAAGAAGCAUCGGCUAACUACGUGCCAGCAGCCGCGGUAAUACGUANGAUGCGAGCGUUGUCCGGAAUUAUUGGGCGUAAAGCGAACGUAGGCGGCCUGAUAAGUUUGGUCUUAAAGACCGGGGCUCA